rnacentral:rRNA from 1 species
UAGGGAAUCUUCCACAAUGGACGCAAGUCUGAUGGAGCAACGCCGCGUGAGUGAAGAAGGUUUUCGGACCGUAAAGCUCUGUUGUUGGUGAAGAAGGAUAGAGGUAGUAACUGGCCUUUAUUUGACGGUAAUCAACCAGAAAGUCACGGCUAACUACGUGCCAGCAGCCGCGGUAAUACGUAGGUGGCAAGCGUUGUCCGGAUUUAUUGGGCGUAAAGCGAGCGCAGGCGGAAGAAUAAGUCUGAUGUGAAAGCCCUCGGCUUAACCGAGGAAUUGCAUCGGAAACUGUUUUCUUGAGUGCAGAAGAGGAGAGUAGAACUCCAUGUGUAGCGGUGGAAUGCGUAGAUAUAUGGAAGAAUACCAGUGGCGAAGGCGGCUCUCUGGUCUGCAACUGACGCUGAGGCUCGAAAGCAUGGGUAGCGAACAGGAUUAGAUACCCUUGGUAGUCCAUGCCGUAAACGAUGAGUGCUAAGUGUUGGGAGGCUUCCGCCUCUCAGUGCUGCAGCUAACGCAUUAAGCACUCCGCCUGGGGGAGUACGACCGCAAGGUU